AAAACGCUUCCUAUGUACACCAUGAGGAACCUUCGCAAGUCGAGGAACGGUUUCGGCCCCCAUCUUUAUCUGUUUCUUGCGCCCCCGAGGAACAGAAGCCUCGGCAGAGAGGUUUCAGCCCCAGGCACAGCCAUCACUCAGAUAAAAUGCUUUAGACGAGGCCUUCAGAUAUUUGCACUUUCAUGAGCUUUGAACGCUCGAGUCGCGGGUCUACGUAUGGUUCUUGACAUGGCACAUGUUCUGCCUGUCACUGAAUCGAGCUCCUCCGGAGGCUUACAAACCGAAUAGCCAGGGCAUCUAUAGGCACCGGGCGCUUGUUAUCAACAAAUUGGGUGACAAAUCCAGGAACAUGGCAUAGUUAAGCCUUUAUCUGGCCCUCAAGGUGUCGACCGUUCACAGCAACAAGUACGGAAAGGUCUGAAGAAAGUCGAGAAACUCGCAUUUUGCCUGUGGUGGGGGGGUUAUAGUCAUUUCUUACGCUUCUAGCGCUAGCUGCCAUAGUAGCAAGCACCAGUCCCCCCCGUCUCUCCUGGGCGAUAUCA